CGGCGGCGGCGGCGGCAGCAGCAGCGCCUCCGCCCGCAGUGCGUGUGUGUGCGUGUGUGUGAUGAGCGAUCGCCGCGUCCCUCCGCCCGCCGCCGGCUGACACCCACCGCGCGGGGCGCGCCAGGAGCAGCAGGAGGAGGCAGGAGCCGCGGCCACCGCGCAGUGACCUUGGCCCAGGAGUGCAACAUCCAAAAGCGGAUCAAAUUUGUGGGACAUGGCACAAGGAAAUAAUUAUGGGCAAAGCAGCAAUGGGGUGGCUGAUGAAUCCCCAAACAUGCUGGUGUACAGAAAGAUGGAAGAUGUCAUAGCCCGCAUGCAAGAUGAGAAAAAUGGGAUUCCUAUUCGCACAGUGAAAAGUUUUCUUUCCAAGAUCCCCAGUGUCUUUUCUGGUUCAGACAUUGUUCAAUGGUUAACGAAGAACUUAUCUAUAGAAGACCCAGUGGAAGCUCUACAUUUAGGAACACUGAUGGCAGCACAUGGCUAUUUCUUUCCAAUCUCAGACCAUGUUCUAACACUGAAGGAUGAUGGCACCUUUUAUCGAUUCCAGACACCCUAUUUUUGGCCAUCAAAUUGUUGGGAGCCGGAAAACACAGACUAUGCUGUUUACCUCUGCAAGCGGACAAUGCAAAACAAAGCAAGGCUAGAGCUAGCAGACUAUGAAGCUGAGAGUUUGGCCAGGCUACAGCGAGCAUUUGCUCGGAAAUGGGAGUUUAUUUUUAUGCAAGCUGAAGCACAAGCAAAGGUUGACAAGAAGAGAGACAAGAUAGAGAGGAAGAUUCUUGACAGCCAGGAGCGAGCAUUCUGGGAUGUGCACCGGCCGGUGCCUGGAUGUGUAAACACUACUGAAGUGGAUAUAAAAAAAUCUUCAAGAAUGAGAAAUCCACAUAAAACAAGAAAGUCUGUCUAUGGCUUACAAAAUGACAUUCGGAGUCACAGCCCUACCCACACGCCAGUACCAGAGACUAAGCCACCCACAGAAGAUGAACUACACCAAGAGAUUAAGCACUGGCAAAUGCAAUUAGACAGACAUAGAUUAAAAAUGUCCAAAGUUGCAGAGAGUCUAUUAGCUUAUUCAGAGCAGUAUUUGGAAUAUGAUCCUUUUCUUGUGCCCCCUGAUCCAUCAAACCCUUGGAUAUCAGAUGACACCACUUUCUGGGAACUGGAGGCAAGCAAAGAGCCGGGACAGCAGAGGGUGAAACGAUGGGGGUUUGGCAUGGAUGAAGCUUUGAAAGACCCUGUGGGAAGAGAGCAGUUUCUGAAAUUCUUGGAGUCAGAAUUCAGUUCAGAAAAUUUAAGGUUCUGGUUAGCAGUAGAAGACCUGAAGAAGAGGCCUAUCCGUGAAGUCCCUGCUCGCGUCCAAGAAAUCUGGCAAGAAUUUCUUGCUCCGGGUGCACCCAGCGCUAUCAAUCUAGAUUCAAAAAGUUAUGACAAAACCACUCAGAAUGUGAAGGACCCUGGAAGAUAUACAUUUGAGGAUGCUCAGGAGCACAUUUACAAACUGAUGAAAAGUGAUUCUUAUCCUCGUUUUAUACGAUCCAGUGCCUACCAGGAGCUGCUACAGGCCAAGAAAAAGGUAUUGGUCCAUCUUGCCUUUGUCUUGCCACUGUGCAAAGCAGUGGUUAUGUUUGCAACAAUACUCAGUCUUCUCUCCCCUGUGCCAGUGCAACUGGAUAUCUGGUAGGUGACCAGCUUGGCGUGUUUGGAGGGUCACAUACACACAGGAGUUCAAUAUACAUAUAUGUGUAUAUAUCCUGCAUGCGGGCAUGUUUCAAUAAGUUAAUCUAGCAAAACUUAUUUUUAUUUUUACAUCCCAUAUUGUACUGUUUUCUCUGUUAUGAAGCACCUUAAUUGCAAAGUGCUUUACAAAUACAUUAAAAAAAAUAAAAUAAAAUCCCAGAAGAAUAGUCUUUCAUGUUUGCAAGUUUGCUUAUGUAAUAGUUGUUGUUCUCUUUAUUCCAUCUAUAAAAGCUACAGAAUGUGUUUAGAAACAAUCUUAUUCUUAUGGAUUACUUCUAAUUUCAACUAUAAAUAUAGGGGCUUCCUAAUUUUGUUUCUUUCCCUAUUAUUACAUGAAUAGUUUUGAGUAGGCUAGGAAUCUGACUUGAAAGACUGAUCAUGUCACACUUCGGCAAACAGAAGCUCAUGUCUUGGUAUGUAAUAUUUACUUAGAAAAGUUCAGAUUAUGGAAUGAGUUCUGAAUAGCCACAGCCCAGAGUAUGUGGAGCAUCUUGUGCAUUGCAGAUUUCUAUAAUGAUAAAUAAUUUUAUCAGUGGGCUUUAAAUAGUAAUCUCCUAAAAUCAGCUGGGAGCCCUGUGCCUUGCAAAAUCAGGGCCCUGAUUGUUACCGGAACAAGGUAGUUAUUAAUACCGUGGGAUUCUAUUGUUUACAAUGACAACCUAAAAUUAUAUGAAAGUAUUGUGUGAUUUUGUUUUUUGUUCAAACAUUGAUUUCUGAAGAUCCAAUAUAGAGAGAGAUGUUGAAAAAACCAGAAAGCUUCAACUGUCCGUGUGAAGUCCUUAAGUUUGUGAAUGUCAGUUCAUUAACACAAGAUGUGCACUUCAUUAUUUCUUUUUAUUUUCAGUUUUUCUUUAAAUUCAAACCAUGAAGUUUGAUCCUCAUGAAAAAUUAUUUUUGUCUAGUACUGUAUCUGCUUUGCCCAUCCCCUGUUUUGCCAAGUCCCAUUACAGCCUCAUUACCUGUGUUUGCUUCCUGAUUUAUACAGACUUUGUUUUGCAGUCCAUUGUUUCAUCAAUCCUUCUUUUCUACUCCAUUUUUCUUGCUUUUCUUUUUCCCCUCCUUUUUCUUUUUGUUUCUUUUGUUUUAUUUAUUUUAAAUUUAAGUUGGAAAACACUCUGGAUCGUCGAACAUCUUUUGAGAAAUUCACACGCAAUGUGGUAAGUUUGUUGCCUCGGAAGACUAGUAAGCCUGAUGGGACAUCCUUCUCCCCUUCCCCUCACUGAUCCCUACUUUCCCUUUUUGCUUCUCUAACCUGACAGUUAAAAGUGUAUUCAUCACAGUUUUUCCUGGGAAUGACAGCUUUAUAAUGUGCUUUCAUUACAACUCCUCCUCCUAGUCCCUUUCUCAAUGAUCUCAAUAGUCACACAUGGAGGAAUGGACAUUUGGGAGCCAUGCUUUUUGCAUUAGGAAGCAUGAAAUUAGUCACUUUUUUUUUUUUGCUUUAAUUUUAGUAAAGAAUCUGUGAAAACCUGCUUGAUGUUGUUUCUUUUUCUGGUGCCUCUCAAAAAACUGAGUCUAAAACAGUUGAAUACAUUGGAUUUCCGUCCUGUCUUCUUUUUAUUUUACUAAAAAAUACUUUGUCCCAUUUUUUUUGAUUGGGCACAGGGAAAAAUAAACAAUAAUAAUUUCCCCAUCUUCCUUAAAGUCUAACACAGCUUCUGCAGGACCAAAGAAUUCAUGCUGUUGAUGUGCGAGGGUUUGAUUUGGAUUAAUUUUCAUAAUGGAUCAAAAGAACUGAUUUUUUCUUUUCAAUAUAUAAUUUUUUUAAGCUAUUCCUUCAAGGUAAAAAAAAAAAGGAGGCUGGUAGGUUUGGUGUGGGCAUUCUUUUGCCACCUGCCAAAAGAUCCACUGAUUUCCUGAUAUUUGGGAUUCUUUUUACUUAUCCAGUUUCUUUGGAAUUAAUUUUUUUUUGCAUUGUGAAAGUUCAAACUAAAGAAUUCAACGCAUUUAUUUUUGUAGGGCAGAAACAUCCCAAUUUUCCCAUGCCAUAAAAACUGUACACCAACACUGAGGGCGAGCACUAACCUGUUAUGAAAAGAGGGGAAAUCGCUCACAUCAAAGAGGUUAACCAGUCUAGUGCAGUCCUACUAAAAGGAUCACCUUGUAGCAUGGAAGCAGACUCAAAUCAUUAUACAUACUUUGUAGCUCACUGAUUGCCUGACUCAGAGGACAGUAGAACAAGAUGUUGCAUGAGCAAGGACCUGACUUGUUUUCUUUUGUGUAUACUAAGGCAUUACAGACUCCGAGGGACUCUCUAGCCUUUCGAUGCCUCCAUUUCGAAAACUGUCUGCUCACUUCCUCCUUCAUAUCAAGCUGGAUCUGUGUCUUUUUAUUUUCUGCAAGCUCAAGUACAGUGAAAAAAAAGCUUCUGCUAGGCACAGUUUAUUUAAAAAAAUACGUCAAUCAAAAACUGGAAGAAAUGUAAAAAUGCAUAUAUUAAUAAAUAUACAUAUGGCAUCACAUUUAUUGCACAAUAAAUUAGCACAGAAGGUUUCAUUUCACUGAUGUAUUCACAUUGAGAAAGAAAGCCUGUGUCUUUGUCUGUUGUCUGUAUAUUCUCUGUUAAUGUUUCUUGCAUUUAUUUUUAUACCAUAUUUAAAAAAGAACACCUUUUACUCCAGAUGUAUUAAAGUUGAUCCUUUCUCUGUAAAUUUGUGUAUGUUUAUAUUGUUGUUUUAUCUUUCAUUAAAAGAUGCAGAAUCUCUUUCCUUUGGGAAGUUUGAGAUUUUAAUAUUGAAUCUGAAGAUUAGUCAAGAGCAAAAUGAUCCCCAAAAGUUACACGCCUUGUGCUUUCUAAAAAGGUGACAUGAAAUGGCAUUUUCUUUCUCUCAGUGACACCUAAUUAAGCACACUUUAUUGAUAAUCAUUUACUUUUUCUUUUCUCUUUAUCAAGUUAGCAGCAGAGAGAUUUUCCAGCUUGCUCAUCAUCUCAUAAGCAAACCUUUCUUUAAGCUAGACCCGUUCUAUAAUAGUACGGUCUGCACAGCAAUUCAGUUGCUACCCCAGACCAGAUGGACUGAACUGCAUUUCCUUAGGAACAGACAUGAACAAUUCUGCCCAAGAACACAAGAGUAUACUUGCUGAAUAGGAAGGGCAGUGUUACUUUCUCCUUGCUGUCACUUGUGAUACAAAGCAACAUUUUAAGAUGAAAAGGUAGUGCUAAGUAUACAGUCUGUAGUGUAAACCUCCAGUAGUAAUGCAGGAGGCUACCAUUUUAAUUCAGGGGCUCUGUUUGGGUGUGCUGUUGUAUGUCCACUGUUGAGGUUACUCACGCAGAGUUCUGUUGACAGGUUUAUGAGCGCAUGUAGAUGUUGCCCAUGAGACAGCAGAUAUGGAGCUUCUGAAGCUAAUCUGAGCUGGAACCAGAAAUCUCUGCUCAGCCUAAAAAACAACACUUUCAACUGAUAGAGGUGGCAUAAGGAUAGUGGUCAGAAUCUCUGAGUAGAAAAGCAAAGAUGGGAACUAAGUCAAAUGACAAAAUGCUGAUACCUCCAGGGCAUCGUAGGGCGCACAGGACAAACAAGCCUUUUUAGCAAUGCACAGAAUAGACUCAGGAAAGCCAACUCUAGUACCAUCUGUUAUGCUGACUUUGGUUUGAUAUUGAGAAACUGCAAUCUUGUUUCAAAGGGACUACCAACCCUAAAAAUGCGCGCGCGCACACACACACACACACACACACACACACACAGAGUGGGACAGUCAUAGGUAGAAGCAGACAAUCAGUUUGAAUGCAUUAAUACUGGAGUAAUCUCAUUUAACAACCGAUGCCUGUCUGCAUUGUUGCCACUAAGGACAGGACUCCUGCACAGACCAGCAAUGGGCAGAAGGGAGCUGAGCUGCCUUCUGCCUCACUUCUCCACUGGCUCUGUCAGUAGCCUCGUGCAGCCGCAGCCAUGAAUGCAGCAUCUUUAAAGAGGCAGUGUGAGUGAAGCCAGUACAAAAGGCAUUAUAAAUCACCAUGAAUGGCUUUUCUCCAUGUUCUGCUCAGAUGAGGUUUCUUGAGGUUUGGGAUUUCUGUUUGUUCUUUGUUUUCACAUGCCACUGUGUUUCUGGUUUCUAGAUAGGAUGAUAAUCACUGCUUUAAAGUGUCUCCAUUUUUGUUAGCACAAUUCUACUAAGCUUUUAUGGAAAUGCCCCAUCACAGUUUGAUUUUAUCAAGAGCUCCAUCUAAGUCAACUCGAAAUGUUCACAACCUAGGGAGGUCAUAUGAAUUUUAAUAAACAGCCACAGUGAAUCCCAGAUCUUAAACUUUGAGAUUUAAUUUUACCACAGAAAUGUGAGCUCUGAGGCAACGAACUUGGGGCCAGGCAAUCCACAGAAAUUUGAGCUCUGUUUCACUUCUCAGUGCCAAAUAGAGAUAUUUAUUUCCAAACUCCCACUGCCACCAAUUACAUCAACUGGUAUAUUGCCUGCUUUGCCUUCACAGUUAACUAAUUAGAUACCAGUGUCUGCUUCAAAUAAUGACUUCCUUCAAAUAGCUAACAUUUCAAAUUCAAGCACUAGGCAUUUCAUGCAACUUCAUCCUAAGAUUUAUUUUUUUUUUAAAUCACUUUGCAACACCAACUGGUUGAUAGAAAGAUGUGGAGCAUUUGUAUUCCUGAACCCAUUCUGUGUUUAUUCUAGUUCUUUUCUGUCAUGGUUUAACUCCAGCUAGCAACAAAGUACAACACAGCUGCUUAUUCACUCCCUUGUACCUCCAAUGGGAUUGGGAGGAGAAGAGGAAAAAGGUAAAACUGAUGGGUUAAGAUAAGAACAGUUUAAUAAUUGAAUUAAUUUAUAAUAAUGAUAGUAAUCAUAAUGAAAAUGAGAAAGAGAGAGGGAGGAAUAAAAGCCAAGACAGACAAGUGAAGCACAAUGCAAUUUCUCACCACCCACUGACUAAUGACAAGCCUGUUCCCGAGCAGCGAUCAUGCCCUCCUGGCCAACUGUACCCAGUUUAUAUACUGAGCAUGAUGUUCUGUGGUACGGAAUAUCCCUUUCACCAGCUGGGGUCAGCUGUCCGGACCAUUCUCUCUCCCAGCUUCUUGUGCACCUGCUCCCUGGCAGAGCAUGGGAAACUGAAAAAACCCUUCACUUAGGGUAAUCCCUGCUCCACAACAGCGAAAGCAUCAGUGUGUUAUCAACAUUAUUCUCAUACUAAAUCCAAACCAUAGCACUGCACCAGCUACUAGGAAGAAAGUGAAAUCUAUCCCAGCCAAACCCAGGAGAUUUUCUUUCAAUAAAUAUGAAGUCUGUAUUGAAUGGUUGUCUUUCCCUGUUUUGCCCAGGAUUUAACAUGAUGAUUGUAAAGUAAAACCAGGCACUAGUAAUAAGGAUUUCAAAGUAGUCAGGGAUCAGUAUUAAGGUUUCAUUUGAGCUUAGUUCCAAGUGAUACAACUCCACCAUCACACAUGAAUGAAUUUGGCCCAAACAAGAUCAAUCCUACAACUAGAUGAUUUUUAAAACGUUUAUCUGCAAUCUUAUGAUACUUUAUCUAUUCACUGUCAUCUGCCAUUAGGAUAGACUUGGACUGGAAACUCCAAGCGGCACAAACUUCCUUUUACUUACCCACAGAGAAAACCUAAAUGUUCGUUUCCAAAUUUUACAAAGAUCCACUUCAAAGAAUUAAGAUUAACUCAGAUUAAGGCAUGCUUGUACAAUGACCAAACAGCUGAAGUAUGACUGAUUACACAACAAUUUACCAGUAGGGAUUUCAGUGAGGCCACAAAUCUGCAGAGAAACAAAGGACCAAGAGAGAAAAUCCAUAUGAAGAGGCCGUAUUUCUUGUCUUUUAGGGAAGAGCCAUCAGUCAGUGCCUCCUGGCUCUGCCCAGGAAGCUGAAAACACCCUCAUGUGAGAUACUAAUUGCAAUAUUCCUUAAAAUAACCCCUUGGAGCUCGGAACUUCCAUCUGAGAUUUGGGCUUCAUUAGACAGUUUCUCUUCUCAUGCAUCCUUGCUCAUAAAACAGCUCUUAAGCCUACAGGGGAAAGAAGUGUUUGAUGGUGCUGCUAUACACUUCAGAUAGUUUUGUGCUCCCAGACCAACCUGUGAAGAAAAAUCACUGGUGGGAGAGGGAGAAGCUAUCCUGGCAGCUAACUGACAACAGCAAAAUAUUUGCCCAUUCUUUUGUAAGGUGCAAUGAGAAACUGUUCUUCAACCCUACAAAACCAAGGAUGGACAAAAAAGGUCUUAAAACAGUGAUGAGAUAAAUUGUGAAAUGCUAAGCUGAAACAGUAGUGGAGACUGGCCAAAACUUAAUGAGGUGAAGGUGAAUACAAGACUAAGAAAUGGGAAUUAAUUGUGGUGACCAGAACAGAACCGACAAGGGAGGAGUACGGGAGAGCUGAGUAAUUAGGAGCAAGAGAGGCAGAAUGAAGCUGGUGGAUUGCCAGCCUGUUGGCCACAGACAUACUGAGUUGGAAUUAAAACCCGGGAAAUCAGGCAAGAUCAACUGUGACUGGUCCUUUAAAACACAACAACUACAUUUUUUUUUCAGCUAAAAAGCAAUAAUGUUUGAGCAAUAAUACCAGAUUUCUGGAGUUGCCUUUUUCAAAUUGCACCUCUAAUAUUGUCUGAAAUCACGAGACAUAAAUGCCAAAUUAUCCCCUAAGAAAUAACAAAUGGGAGGGCAACAACCAGCUCCAGAAACAAGACUAUGCAAGGAAUGCAUUUAAGAUGUUUAUUUAUUAAAAAAAUUAUUAAAAAAAAAAUUAAAGCCAAAGCAGACCACCAAAGAGAGAGAAGGCUGUUUUCUAUAGGUAACUGGAAUUAGGAGUUGGGAAAGCCAGUGAUUUAUUUGUGGCUCUUCCAAUUAUUUAUUUUUAUGCAUAGUGAAUAACAGCUGUUUGAAUUUAUAUUUUAAAAUUGUCAUAUUUUUUAUGUCCCUUCUAGCUGAAGAUAUUGUGUAUAGAACUAACACUGGACUUAUUAACGUAGGUGCAUAAAACACAGGAAUUUUGCUAAAAGAAAUUUAAUAGCUACAGGGACUUAAAUAAAAUAAGGCUCUAAUCCCAACAAGUUCAAGGGAAAUUAUCAACAAAUUCUUUGAACGUAUUCUGUGUCCACAAUUCAUUUAAGCAAGUUGCUGAGUGGUUGUGACUCACACCAGUCUACUGUUUGAUCUCACUGCUGAACAGACUGCUUUUGUCUCCUGUGAGUUGAAAAUAGGCGGAAUGCCCCAAUAUUAAAGAGGUGAAGGGGAAGAGAAGAUGAUUUCUCUGAGGCCGCAUUCCCCCUCCUCAUGAUGUUUCAGACUGUGGAGUCCUCAAAUGACAUGUGUACAACUAAAUGGGUUUUGUUUUUAUAGACAUCGACUGGAGGGCUGCAGAGUCUCUCCAGACAGUCAUUAUCUCUACAAAGAAAACUACAAAGUUUUUUUUUCCUACUAUCUAAACUGAAUCUUUGCUUUGAUUUAUCCCUUUAUUUUUGACCAGGCUGCUACAGUCACUAUAAUAAUAUGUUCCCAACAUAAAUGGACAUUGUGACAUUACAGUCUCCUUUGGUUUUCUUACUGGUGUUUUCUGAAGUGUUGAGUGACUUCAUCGCUCCAACUUUCUUGGAGGAUGGUGCCCAGAUCCCUUGCAAUCUAAUGUAGAUGAUCAUUCCCCUUUGUGUAUAGCUGACUCUUCUUGGGUCAGUCCAUCGGGUAUCAUCCUCAUUUUUCAGACCAUCUCUAUCUUUUCCCAAGGGUAAUUUUUUUUUUCAUUCUACCUGUACAAAACUUGCAGUCCUUUUAUCUACGGGUAUCUUUAUGUGUGGGUGAGAGUGAGGAAUCUGCUGGCCUGAUUCUUUAACACAAACACUUGAAUGAGAGUGAGUACCAUCAUCACUAUUUGCUGUAAGGGAUCUGUAUGUGUAAAUUGUAAAGAAAAAUUGCCCUUAUAAUAAACUCUGAGAACCUGCUCAAAUGCUAGAUGAUAGUCCUUAUUUACAAGUGUGAACAUGGACAGUAAAUAUCAAACAAUAUUAAGACACGAUUGUAAAUGUUACCUUGUUAGUGGCAUUUGCACAAUUUUUAUUGUAUUUUUUCUUUGCUCCAAAAAUAUAUUCUGCUGCACUCAUCUUCAUUGGCUCUCUUUUUGAUUUGACUAGAUUUUGAAAUCUCUUGUUAGAUUCAUCACUGCUGUCAGCUUUCAAAAGGGGUACUAUUUCCCACCCUUCCUCUUAACCUUGCAGCUGCUCCUUCAGCACGCAUAUCACAUAAAUGAGGCAUUUCAUUAUGCAUUUAUCUUGUCUAUCCAUCUUUUUAUUUCUUUACCCCUUUCCCUUAAAAGAUGAGUGGAAAUGGCAUAUUUAAUGUAACUUACUUUUCUACCUUUUUGCUGAGAGGAAUGUGUAACCUGAAAUCUAUGACCUUUUUUCAGUUAAUCUCUUUUGAUGCACUGUUCUUUAUAAAAGUUUUCUUUUAGAUUCUCUUUCUUCUCUCCCCCUCCCCCUCAGGAACAUCUUUUUUAGGAUUCUCUGUCUUUUAUGGUUCUUUUCCUUUGUUCCUCUGAUCUUUGCUCCAUUGAUCCCUCCCUCAUGGUCUGAUGGUGCCCACUAAUGCUCUUUAUAUUUAUCUCCUCUGUUCCUUCUUGGAAUUGAAAGAAAUUAGAAUAAAA